UACAGAGGGGGCAAACGUUGCUCGGAAUCAUUGGGCGUAAAGCGCACGUAGGCGGUCUGUUAUGUCGGAUGUGAAAGCCCUUGGCUCAACUGAGGAAGUGCAUCCGAAACUGGCAGGCUAGAGUACUAAAGAGGAUCGCGGAAUUCCCGGUGUAGAGGUGAAAUGCGUAGAUAUCGGAAAGGAACAUCAGUGGCGAAAGCGACUUCCUGGACCAGUACCGACGUUCAGGCACGAAAGCGUGGGGAGCAAACAG
rnacentral:rRNA from 1 species